AAACGUAUAGACAACAGGGAUGCCCUAGUAACGGCGAGUGAAGCGGCAACAGCUCAAAUUUGAAAUCUGGCUCUUUUAGAGUCCGAGUUGUAAUUUGCAGAGGGCGCUUUGGCUUUGGCAGCGGUCCAAGUUCCUUGGAACAGGACGUCACAGAGGGUGAGAAUCCCGUACGUGGUCGCUGGCUAUUGCCGUGUAAAGCCCCUUCGACGAGUCGAGUUGUUUGGGAAUGCAGCUCUAAAUGGGAGGUACAUUUCUUCUAAAGCUAAAUAUUGGCCAGAGACCGAUAGCGCACAAGUAGAGUGAUCGAAAGAUGAAAAGCACUUUGGAAAGAGAGUCAAACAGCACGUGAAAUUGUUAAAAGGGAAGCGCUUGCAGCCAGACUUGCUUGCAGUUGCUCAUCCGGGCUUUUGCCCGGUGCACUCUUCUGUAGGCAGGCCAGCAUCAGUUUGGGCGGUAGGAUAAAGGUCUCUGUCACGUACCUCCUUUCGGGGAGGCCUUAUAGGGGAGACGACAUACUACCAGCCUGGACUGAGGUCCGCGCAUCUGCUAGGAUGCUGGCGUAAUGGCUGUAAGCGGCCCGUCUUGAAACACGGACCAAGGAGUCUAACAUCUAUGCGAGUGUUUGGGUGUCAAGCCCGAGCGCGUAAUGAAAGUGAACGGAGGUGGGAACCCGCAAGGGUGCACCAUCGACCGAUCCUGAUGUCUUCGGAAGGAUUUGAGUAAGAGCAUGGCUGUUGGGACCCGAAAGAUGGUGAACUAUGCUUGAAUAGGGUGAAGCCAGAGGAAACUCUGGUGGAGGCUCGCAGCGGUUCUGACGUGCAAAUCGAUCGUCAAAUUUGGGCAUAGGGGCGAAAGACUAAUCGAACUAUCUAGUAGCUGGUUCCUGCGAGCCCCCUCCCCUUCGAAGAACCAAGGCUUCUAAAUUGGUUGCAUUAGGUCUUUGCCCCUAUGCCCAAUCUGACGAUCGAUUGCACGUAGGAGCGCUGCGAGCCUCCACAGAGUUUCCUCUGCUCAUCCUAGAUCAAGCUAAGCUAACAGUGUGUCGGGUCGACAGCAUGCUUUCCUCGAAUCAUCGAGACGUAGACGUGGAGCGCCUCUUCGUUCACUUCGUGACUCAUUACAGUAGGUUGAACCCACCUUCUAAGUUGAGCUUGAUGCGUUCCAGAGCGAGCUAACGUAGGCGCUUCGAAGUCUGUCUGCACAAUGAGCGUGAUAAGUCCCCCAAAGUCACGUA
rnacentral:rRNA from 1 species